UACGGGGGGAGCAAGCGUUGUUCGGAUUUACUGGGCGUAAAGGGCGCGUAGGCGGCCACCGCAAGUCGACUGUGAAAUCUCCGGGCUUACCCGGAAAGGUCAGCCGAUACUGCGGGGCUAGAGUGCAGAAGGGGCAACUGGAAUUCUCGGUGUAGCGGUGAAAUGCGUAGAUAUCGAGAGGAACACCUGCGGCGAAGGCGGGUUGCUGGGCUGACACUGACGCUGAGGAGCGAAAGCGUGGGGAGCGAACAGG
rnacentral:rRNA from 1 species